GAUGAAGAACGCAGCGAAAUGCGAUACGUAGUGUGAAUUGCAGAAUUCAGCGAAUCAUCGAAUCUUUGAACGCACAUUGCACCUCUCGGUAUUCCGGGAGGUAUGCCUGUUCGAGCGUCAUUUGUACCCUCAAGCUCUGCUUGGUGUUGGGUGUUUGUUCCGCCUCUGUGUGUGAACUCGCCUCAAAACAAUUGGCAGCCGGCGUACUUGUUUCGGAGCGCAGCACAUUUUGCGAUCCAGAUCAACGUACAGCGGCAUCCAAGAAGCCUUAUUUAACGCUCUUGACCUCGGAUCAGGUAGGGAUACCCGCUGAACUUAAGCAUAUCAAUAAGCGGAGGA
rnacentral:misc_RNA from 1 species